AUACGGAGGGAGCAAGCGUUGUCCGGAAUCACUGGGCGUAAAGGGCAUGUAGGCGGGCUGUUAAGUCAGGAGUGAAAUUCACUUGCUUAACGAGUGAACUGCUUUUGAAACUGGCAGUCUUGAGUACUGGAGAGGUGAGCGGAAUUCCAGGUGUAGCGGUGAAAUGUGUAGAUAUCUGGAAGAACACCGGUGGCGAAGGCUGCUCUCUGGCCAGUUACUGACGCUGAGGUGCGAAAGCGUGGGGAGCGAACAGGAUUAGAAACCCCAGUAGUCC
rnacentral:rRNA from 1 species